AUCCCUGUGGACAGAGAGAGGCUGUUAGAGAACCCAGGGUACACCACAGGGAGCCCCCAAAGCACACUGCCUCCUCUCUGGAAAGGCCGCACAGAGCCAGCACUCGGAGGGCCCUCCUCGCCCAGGCGCUGCACGCUUCAACAGCCCCCGGAAGCAGGUUUUAUCUCUCGGAGAUGGGGACACUGAAUCUUGGAGAAGUGGGGAGAGUGGAGUAGGAAGUGGCAGUGUCCCGAAUCUUAUUCCUGGGCACCAUGAGGAAAUGCCUUCCUGGGAAACCCCUGCUCCCAAAUUUACCGUUAGAGGGAUAAUAACAGCUAAAUUAUCAACCUGACAACAUGGUGCGGCCCGUUCCAGUAUGGGUGUCCGCAGACAACUGUAUCUGAAGGUUUCUUCAGUUUCCUACAAGUUAUGUCACCGGGUAAUGCGAACCCAAGCCUCAGAUCUUUGGUUGUCUCGUGACCCCCUCCCCUCCCCACACACCACAGGCGCUGGUGCCGAGGGCAUGGUCUCCAGCUGAUGGCACUAUCUGGGAAGGUUCAGGAAACUUCAGAGAAAUGUCAUCCCUGGAGGCUUGCCUUUGGAGACUCGACCUCAUUCUCACUCCCUCUCCAUUUUUUUUUUUUUUUUUUUUUUUUUUACUUCCUGUCUUCCACAAGGCGACCUCUGCCACACACUCCUGCCAAGUAUAUGGGACCAAACAACCAUGGGCUAACUAACCCCUCUGAGACCCGGAGCUGUUCCCUCGGGUCCGUCUCAGUCGCAGUGAGCAGAGGGUAGCAAACCCGUCAGAGGCAGUUAUGUUUGGGAUGCAUGAUGCUUGGUCCCUGCUGGGCCCAGGGCUCUGCCUGGCUCGACCUCAGAAGCUGCCGCCGGCCCCUGGGACUGGAGCUCCAAAUUCCAAGGUUGGAAUUGGACAGGCCCCAGCUACAUACAGGUUUUUUAGAGCUGGCCGCGAACCCUGGGCUCCCAGGUCCUGUGACUGCUCCUCUACCACAGAGCUAUGUCCCGGCCCCACCUGCUCUGGUGUCAAGUGACAGAGGAGAAUUUAAUGCAGUUUCGGGUUUACGGACAAAUGCACAGAAAGUCCCUAUAGGCCCUUGUCUCACCCAGCUUGCCACAGUGUGGCCCAUUUGUCACAACUGGUCAAACAGUAUGGGAGGGACAGGGCAUCUGAGCCCAUUCUUUGCUCUGUGCAGUGUCUGUGUUUAUGAUACAGCACAGAACAGGUCCACAGCCCCCAGGCCCCUGGCUUCCACCCAUCCCUGCCUCCUCCGUGCCGCUAACCCAUGGCAAACCACUCAUCUUCUUAUUAUUGCUAUAGCCUUGCCUUUCCCGGACCGGCGGGCUGAAGGACUUGGAGCCUUGUUAGGGGCUUUUUCCACUUAGCAGGUUCUGUUAUGACCCAUUCAUGUCUUUUCAUGGUUUGUUAGCUCCUUCCCCCUCUUUUAAAUUAAAGUUUUUUAGUUUACAUACAAAGUGACAGGCUCCCUAAGAACCCUUCAUACAUAGCUUCCAUGAUCACAUCUUGUUCUCAGCUGUUUCCCCCUCACCGCCCUUCCCCAUACUCUCCUCCCCCCCCAGCUACUCCCCCUCUCCCCAUUUCCUUCUCCCUUCUGCCUUCCAUUGUAUUCUGCUAUUGGCUCUAUCUCCCAUUUCCUUUAAGUAUCUUCCUCCAUUCUCAAGACCCUUUUUCUAGUUUUGUAAUUUAUAAACAAACAUAUAAACACAGGCAUAUAAUUUUAAAUUUAGGCUCUACGCUUGAGAGGGAAUGUGAGUUCUCUUCCCAAGUCUAUUGAAUCCAUUUCCUGGAAAUGUCAUUGUUUCAUUUCUCUUUGUGGCUGUAUAAAAUUCCAUUGUGCGUAUGAACGAUGCUUUCUUUAUCCAUUCAUCCAUCAUCUAUGGACAUCUAGGCUGCUUCCAUUUAUCCAUUCUUCUGUUGAUAGACAGUCAGGCUGCUUCUAUUCCCUGACUAUUUCAAAACUUGGGUGUGCAAGUAUCUCUGUGGUGUUUUGAGUUAGGGGCCUGUGGAUUUGGUUUAUUGAAGGAGCUCUAUACUGAUGUACCCAGUGGCUGCCUUAGUUUACACCUCACGGGUAGGGAGGAGGGACCCUCUUUCCAACACCCUCACCAGCCUUUGUUCUCCCACUUAUUUACUUAAAUAAAUAAAUAGACAGGGCCUCAUUCUGUAACCCUGGAUGGCCUGGAGCUUCUGUGUAGAUCAGGCUAGCCUUGUUCUCAGAGAGCUGCCUGCCUCUGCCUCCUGAGUAUUGGGAUUAAAGGCGUGCCAGGUGACAUCAAUCUGAAUGGGGUGAGGCAGAAUCCUAAGGUGAUUUUAUUUUUGUUUACUUAUUGUUUUUGUGUAUGUUCAUGUGUGUUUGUAGGAGAGUGUAUAUAUGUAGUAUGUAGAGGUCAGAGGUCAACCUUGGGGGUUGUGCUUCCGUUGAUCAUUACCAUUCUUGGUUUAUUUUUGAAACAGGGUUUCUCGCUGGGACCCAGGGCUCAUCAAUUAGGCUAAGCUGCCUGGCCAGGGAGCUCCAAGGGCCUGCCAGUCUCCACUCCCCAGUGCUGGGGUUCUGGUCCUGCACCACCAUGCUGGCAUUUCCUGUGGUUGCUGAGGAUCCAAGUCCAGUCUCCAUGUAUUCCCCUGACGGCUAAGGAUACCUUGUCAAGUAUUUGACUGGCCAUUUAUGUUUCUUCUUUUUAGAAUUACAUGUUCAGUUCAUCAUCCCAUUUCCUGACUGGAUAAUUUGGGGCUUGGUGUUUUUGUUGGAAUCGAUAUAUCUUCGAUAUUAAUCUCUUGUCAGAUGUACGGUUGGUGUGGAUUCUCUUCUCUCUGGUGACUUCUUUGCUGUGCAGAAACUUCCUGACUUCAUGGAGUCCCAGCUGUCAGAUCCUGGAAUUAUUUCCUGUGCUUCUGGAGUCCUCUUCAGAAAGUCAUUGCCUGUGUUUAUACCUUGGAGUAUCUCCCUCCAACCUCUCCUUACUCCCUCCCCCCGUUUUUAUUUUGGAGGUACCUGACGUAGCUUGCUUAGGUUUUGUGGACCAUGGGCUGAGCCCAUCUUUCCCGCCUUGUAUCUAGUUCAUGGUUGUCUCCUAGUGACAGGAACCCAGAAGAUGCUUGGUGAGGAACAAGACGGAGACAAAGUGACUUCCUAAGGUCACUGACAGAGAAUACUGCCCAGGAAAUCAGUUUUUAUACCGACUGUAUUGCAUCCACAUGGAAAUGAUCUACAGGGCCUGUGUGUUUCCCAGGGAUCCUCAGGGAGGUGGCAACUGUGACAGAGUCAGUCAUCACGCUGUGCUGGCCGAGGCUGGCCCUGCCCCUGCUGCUCCACGCCAGCCACGGGUUUGCAGGCGCUGAGCUGUAGCUGUGUCCUGUGACCUGGGAACACCCUCCGACUUGAGAACGUGAACCGGGCGAAAGAGGCUUUCAUCUCCUUCCAAAUAUACCAUCAGCUCUUGUCAUUCUUCUGCUCUUGACUCUAGAUGCCCUGCAAGUCCCUUGCUCCAUGGGACAAGGCAGCAAAGUACGUGGGACUCUUGAGGAAAGGCCUUUCUCUGUAAACAAAAGUCUGUUGUGGACAGACAGGGCAACGGGGCCUUGGUUUAACUCAGGAGGCAGACAUGUCCCAAACAUCAACAUGGAUAGGUGUGCAUGUGUAUUCUGUGCAUAUGACUGUAUGUGCAUGUGAGUGUGUGUCGUGGUUGGUUGGUGGGUCAGACAAAUACGGUGGAUGAUGCCCGGAGAAACUCAGUUACCCUCCCACCUCCCAGCUCUGUCUAAACAUCUCUUCUCAAAGCCUGGCCCACUGAGGACCUGUCUGAGACUCUGCAUCUCACCGGCCCACCAACGACGGUGCCUGAGACUGUACAUCUCUGGCAGCUGGUAGGAUAAGCAGCUUGGGCCAGAGUGUAAUCAGCCACCUCAUCAAUCAUGUUGCUUACUUGAGCUGGCAGUACUCACAGCAAGUCUUCGUCAAUGAGGAAGCACAACUCUGAGUACUUCCAAUGUCCACACGCAGCGGCGCUAAUGGGCUUUCCAGUCAACACUGUCUUCUCAAAAUGUGGGUUCUGGGGUGAGGCCAGAGACGCUUGUGUUGUCGGGUCUGGUGGCUGCUGGCCUGCGGCCCACGCUGAGCAGUGGCUGGAAACACACAGCACCGUGUACCUCGGUGGAGAUUACUUUUGUUCCCUUCACUGAAGGCUGCCCGAGAUUCGAGCUAUUACUCACAAAAGGAAGAUGACAUGGGGAAGAGUACGUGGCUGCAUUGUUUGGGUGAGGACAUUCUGAGAGGAGGAGAGUGUUUCAUUCACUACCCUUGGCUUUCUUUUUGUCUGUCUUUUCUGGCUUCCUAGAGAAAACAGGUAUAAAAAAAAAUACCAAAAAAAUAAUGUAUUUGAAA